rnacentral:snRNA from 14 species
GGGCUGACCUGUGUGGCAGCUUCUCAUUGAGGUUAGCCAACAGCUAAAUUUUUGUGUGUGGGGCUGCGUUCGCGCGGCCCUGG